UGAACCGAACGGUCGUAAUGACAGAUUGCACCGAUUAGGAGAAAACUUCACAAAUAUUCCUAAUUUAUAGUUAAGCAAUGUAUCAAAUUCAGCUAUAUAUUACCGUCACAGCAUAUCCUGUAUUUUCGUGUUACCUUAUCGGGUCAUUCAGUAAUACUUGUUACUGUAUUCCGCUAGACACUCUAUACUGUGUAUUAAGAAAUGGCGACAGACCAGGAUCCAAAUGAUUCUGAAAUACGACUAUCAAGAUUUCUUUAUGUUGGGAAAGAAUAUCCAGAUUAUCAACCAGGAAAUUGGUUUGUCCACAACUACUUUUUGGCUAAAAAUGUUCCAUCCAUAGAAGAAUUAGCCGAGAAUACAGAGAAGCAAUUAGUUCCAAUUGAAAUAAUUACAAAGGCAUUUGAAAACAAUGUUGUUCCAAAUCCAGAAACAUUAAUAUUUGCUCUUGCUGUUUGCUGUAGGCAAAUGAAAAGUGAGAGUUUAAGACACGCAGCAUAUGCAGCCAUGAAUAAAAUCUGUGCAACACCACAACAUUUUAUUUUGUUUAUAAAAUUUGCUUCUCAAAUAAGCAAGCAAAAGGAGCUUGAUGCAUCUGGCAGUUCGAAAAAUGGAUGGGGUCAGGGUUUAAGGAAAGCUGUGAAUAACUGGUAUUUAUCAAAAACUCCAAUGGAAUUAGCAAAAUGUGUCACAAGAUACAAAGGCAGAUAUGGUUGGAAGCAUAAAGAUAUUAUAAAGUUGUCUCAUCCCGUGCCGAACAAUCCUGGAGGAGAAGUUGUUCUUAAAUACAUAGUGCGUGGUUUGGAAGAAAUUGAGAAAGCAUAUGCAGAAGAUUCCAGAUUCACAGAGAUAAUACAGUACAUUAAAAAUGUAGAGGACUUUAAACAUUGCACAGAUGAAAUUCGAGCAGCUGGUCUUCUAGAAAUGCAUAAAUUAACAUUAGACCAUAUACCUGGGCACUUGCUGAAAUCUAAAGAAGUUUGGAAUGCAUUAAUACCAUCAAUGAACUUAAAUUUACUUUUAACUAACCUACAGAGAAUUCACAAUCUUGAAUUACUGAAACCAAACUCGUUAACAGUUUCGAAAGUAGUAGAUCAAAUCAUUAAAGAAGAAGCUAGAGACAAGGUUCAUCCAGCUUUAGUAUUAAUUACGAUAAGGGAUUAUGAAAACUCUGGAAAGCCCCUAACAUACGAGAAAAGAAAGAUCAAAGAACAAUUUCAGAAACCUUUACCAUCUCCGCCCAAGCCAAAUUCGAAAAUUAUCGAUGCUCUCUACAAACUGUUGAAUCUUUCAUUUAAUCACGUUCAACCGACUGGUUUACGUUACAUGGUAACGAUUAAUAUGAAUAAAGUGAUGUUAGAAACGCAUACUUGGCGCAGUGGCAAUGUGAACGGUGCAGAAGCAGGAUGCAUGAUCGCACUUGCUCUUCUUCGCAGCGAGAAGAAUGUUACCGUUGCAACAUUUAAAAACGUUGGAAUUCAUGCUGUCAGCAUUGACAAAACUGCUUCCUUUGGCCAGGCCAUGAGGAGAUUGCAGCAGAUGCCCGUUGGAAAUGUGAAUUUGGGUAAACCGAUGUCGUGGGCUGCUCAUCAAAAUAACAAGUACGACGUGUUCAUUAAUGUCGUAGACCGAAUAUUCGAGAAAUCUGAUACUUCCGAAGAAGCUCUCCAGGCAUACAGAUUAAAGAUGAAACUUCCAAAUACAAAGUUGAUUAAUUGUGCUGUAUGCUCCUCAUCGACUAAUUACAAGGAAAAACGGGACAAUAAUGUUUUAACGAUUAACGGCUUCGACGCCAGCGUUCCUGUAGUUAUACAGGCUUUCGCAAAGUCGUUAUUCUAAUUGCUGCAGUAUAGCAGUUCUUUCUUUAACAAGCAGUACUAGCUAAUUGAUUACCAUGCUUUUAAAACGACCGUAACUCGAUUAUUUAAAAUUUUCUAUGAGAUCGUCAAUUAAGGAAAGUCUCGAAACAUUGAAAUUAUUGCAAUCUGGUUUGAGGAGAAAAGAAGUAGUUUUCAGUAAUCUUUAAAUGUUGCUAGUCUAAUUACUGAUACAGUAAUCAAGGCAUGCAAUAGUUUAGCACAGUUCUAUAAACUGUUUUAUAGUUAAGAGUAAAAUGAUCCUCAUAGUUUCAUUUCCGAAUCUCGAUUACUAAAAAGGAAUGACCGUUAGACGAUAACAUUUGAAAUUUUAAAGAGCAACAGCGUUUACAAAACAGUGCCGAGGAAAUUGUUUGGGCCUCAAAAAACUUUCUUCCGUAUUACUGUCUAUAAUGACGUUACAUUCAGUUUUAGUACAAAGUCAUAAACAUAAGAAACUACGUUCUCGAUGCUUUUUUUUCUUUUUUUUACAUGUGUUUGAUACGCGAGAAAGAAUAUGCUGGCACUGAAUAAUUAUUCAGUACUAACUUAUAUUAUUAUAAUUAUCUCAUAUUAAUACUAACACAUCAAUAUUAUUCAAUAAUAUUAAACUGCAUAUUUUUAGCUUUUAGGGUGAGCUGUGUAGCCUUCGACGAUGGUAAAACUUCAUUUGUGUUCUAUAGAGGGUGGUCCAAUGAAUUUUUGUAAAUAUUUAUUUAAACGAGCGGCACACACCGAUGAUCAAGCGAAUCAAUAAUUGAAAAGUAAAUAAAUGUGAUACGUCUGUGAUGAAUCAUUUGAUUAGAUAAAGGGAGAACGUUUCAAGUAACUACGGACCACUUGGUAUCAUUUACAAACAGCGCAUGAAAUUUUAUUUGUUGAAUAAACAAACAAACAAAAAAACGGAAAAAACGGAACGGGAAAACACGACACAGUAUCCAGGGAGAUGAUGAUGAUGAUGAUGAUGAUGAUGAUGAUGAUGAUGAUGAUGAUGAUGAUGAUAGCUCUAAUUCUUUUUUCUCGAUCCUUGAAUUACCAUUAUUGAAAAACCUUUUUGGUUUCCAAAGCGAGAAGCAAGCUCUCUUCGAGACACAAGUCGCUAAAAAGUAACUGCGUGGAUGGAAUUCUCAGGUCUGACAAACGUUUAAAUUAAGUGCUUAAUGUUCACGUGUUCUUUGCAGCCUGCUCGGUAAUUCAUGGAUCGAUUUGCUAUUGCGUACACAGGCACACACACGUACACACAUACAGGCGUUCAUUUUUAACAAAGAAAAAUCCUCGUACAGGCGUACGUACGAAACGUGUGAGACACUUUAGUUUCUCGGAAAACGGUAAAAGAGAAAAAAAAGCAGAAUAACACUUAAAUAGAAUCAUGUUUUACUAGCGUAAGGGACGCUAAAGCGUCACGUGUGCGCGUUGCUAGAGAAAAUAUAGCUGGCGGAAGCGACACGGUGAACUUUAACCCUUCGCGGUCCGAAUUGCUCUUGGUCUCUCAGUUUGAGGUUCGCGUCGAUUGAAACUAUUGAACUAUUGAAUACAUUGUUAAUUCGUAUCCAUAUGUGGAUAUUUAUUAAUUUUGUACUGCAUAGAUUUUGUUGUAAUCAUGAACAAAAAUUCGAAGUGCUGUUGGUUUCUCAAUUUGAGGUUCGAGAAUAUUUUUCUCGACAAAUAUUCAUUAUAUUCUGAUGAAAUAUCAAUGGUACGUUUUACAACUAACAUAAAUAAAUACCUUGCAUAAAUUAACACGUUGAACGCCGCACGACUUCAUAGGGCAAAAUACAUAAAAUGGAAAAAAUACAAUAUUAAAUCAUUCGAGUGAAUUGGAUUAUCGUUGCACGUUCGUCAAACUGAAUGUCACCGCAAUGGGUAGCAUUAUUUAUAAUGUAGAAACGUCUGCGAAAAAUUUAAUAUCGAAUUCUAAAUUGUAUCAUUUCCAUGGGUCAAAUCAAAUGACUGAAAGGCGCCUCCCGAGUUCAAA